AUAGUUCUUCGGGGCAGGGUGAAAUUCCCGACCGGCGGUUAAAGUCCGCGAACUGCGUUAAGCAGUUGAUUUGGUGCAAUUCCAAAACCGACAGUAUAGUCUGGAUGAGAGAAGAAGACA
rfam:Anaerosporobacter mobilis DSM 15930 genome assembly, contig: EJ17DRAFT_scaffold00006.6